AUUCCUUUACAGCUCCUUCAGGCUUCCAGAGAAGACCCUGCAGCUUCCUGACAUGGACUCAGGCAGUGGCUGAGUAUAGCCAGGGUAUCGGGACAGGGCCCAGCCAGCUCCUUGGCUUGGGGACCCUAGGACCCCACAGAACGCUCUGAAGCUCUCCUCCUUCAUCUUCCUCCUACUUUUCCUCUUCCCCCAGGAUUAAGUGGAUGAUGAUGAUCAUGACAAUGAUGACUUUGACACUGGCCAUGUAAGCCAAAAUUCCUGACAGUGAAAUGGAUAAUGAACUGAUACAGACACUGGGAAUUGCAGAGCUCCUUGAUUCAGAUGAUGAAGGAAAAAUCAAU